rnacentral:misc_RNA from 1 species
GAAAUGCGAUAAGUAAUGUGAAUUGCAGAAUUCAGUGAAUCAUCGAAUCUUUGAACGCACAUUGCGCCCGCCAGUAUUCUGGCGGGCAUGCCUGUCCGAGCGUCAUUUCAACCAUCAAGCCCCCGGGCUUGUGUUGGGGACCUGCGGCUGCCCGCAGGCCCUGAAAACCAGUGGCGGGCUCGCUGUCACACCGAGCGUAGUAGCAAUCACCUCGCUCAGGGCGUGCUGCGGGUUCCGGCCGUUAAACAGCCUUACAAAACCCAAGGUUGACCUCGGAUCAGGUAGGAAGACCCGCUGAACUUAAGG